rnacentral:rRNA from 1 species
GUAAAGCACUUUCAGUCGUGAGGAAGGUAGUGUAGUUAAUAGCUGCAUUAUUUGACGUUAGCGACAGAAGAAAGCACCGGCUAACUCCGUGCCAGCAGCCGCGGUAAUACGGAGGGUGCGAGCGUUAAUCGGAAUUACUGGCGUAAAGACGCAUGCAGGUGGUUUGUUAAGUCAGAUGUGAAAGACCCGGGGCGUCAACCUCGGAAUUGCAUUUGUAAACUAGGCAGACUAGAGUACUGUAGAGGGGGGUAGGAAUUUCUAGGUGUAGCGGUGAAAUAGCGUAGAGAUCUGAAGGAAUACCGGUGGCGAAGGCGGCCCCCUCGGACAGAUACUGACACUCAGAUGCGAAAGCGUGGGGAGCAAACAGGAUUAGAUACCCUGGUAG